AAUUCCCCAAAGCACGUCAAUGCAAAAGUGAAAGGACAUGGUACUUUAUCUUACCUCACACACUGAGAACAGUUAUAUCUUUUUGAAACUUUGCAUCUGAAGAGAGCAUCUCUGUGUGGGACAGUCAAAGCCACAAUAUGACAAAUAAGAGUCGUCUACAGAAAACACAGGAGGAGGUGCAGGAAGUCACAGUGAUUAUGUUGGAUAAUUACAAGAAGGCAGAGGAGAGACGAGAAAACCUGUCUGAUCUGGACCAGAAGGCUGAGGAAUUACGAGAGCAUAGCAAAAUGUUUGAAAAGACAACCAGAGGGCUGGUCCCAGAGAAAAAAUGCACUUGGAAAAUCAUCCUGCUUGUGAUUGGGGCUAUCGCACUCAUUGCUGUUGGCGUUCUAUUAGGUGUGUUUUUGGGGUAAAUAUUGGCAUAUGUUUUCUUUUUUAUGCAAUAAAUAUGCAAAUUAAGUGAUGUGCUGUCAACAUUGUACGACUCUGGGAUUCUCAAAUGUCUAAAGUGUCUAUUCUGGUCAGUCAAACAGCACUUUGUAUUAGGCUUUGGCAAACAAUAUGUUUUUUUUUUUUAUUUAUAAAUUUUUUUAUAAAUUAUGCAAAUGUGACUUUUUGUGGCUUUUAUAAUAGCAUGUUAUAAUAGCUCACUCAGAGUUAUAUUUGGAUUAAGUGUACAGUAUGUUUACUGGAGUCUUGAGUGAUCCAAAAAUGUAUGUCUUCUCCUAUCACCUGUUCCGCCUAAGUGGAAUAAUAAUUUCAAGCUGGUUCUGUUUGAGUUGAGCAGUUUUGUCAUUUGCCUCAAGUGGGAAGAUAAUCCAGUGUGGCUUCUCCAAAAUUCUGGAGAUCUGUAAGUCAGAUCUCCUACGGGAACAAUGCAAUAUAAGCGAUCACCAUUCACUGUUAUUUUGGAUCAUUUACAUUACUUAUAUUGUGGCUGAUUUUCAUGUUUGUUGCUUUGACAACAGCAGUUCAGUGAGGCUUGUUUUGCUCAAUGGUCUGUUGUAUAAAGUUGUGUUUAUGCUGUUUCAAAAAAUGUGUUUUAGCAAUUGUAAUAUGUACAGUGUAAGAACUUAAUUUGGUUACUAUAAUAAAAAAAUAUAUGAUUAUAUUAAAUAAAAAUGUGUUUGUUUACACUUAACUAAGUCAAGACAAGGCAUUAAAAAUCAUCAGUGAA